rnacentral:rRNA from 1 species
AAAUUGAAGAGUUUGAUCAUGGCUCAGAUUGAACGCUGGCGGCAGGCCUAACACAUGCAAGUCGAGCGGUAGCACAGAGAGCUUGCUCUCGGGUGACGAGCGGCGGACGGGUGAGUAAUGUCUGGGAAACUGCCUGAUGGAGGGGGAUAACUACUGGAAACGGUAGCUAAUACCGCAUAAUGUCGCAAGACCAAAGUGGGGGACCUUCGGGCCUCAUGCCAUCAGAUGUGCCCAGAUGGGAUUAGCUAGUAGGUGGGGUAACGGCUCACCUAGGCGACGAUCCCUAGCUGGUCUGAGAGGAUGACCAGCCACACUGGAACUGAGACACGGUCCAGACUCCUACGGGAGGCAGCAGUGGGGAAUAUUGCACAAUGGGCGCAAGCCUGAUGCAGCCAUGCCGCGUGUGUGAAGAAGGCCUUCGGGUUGUAAAGCACUUUCAGCGGGGAGGAAGGCGGUGAGGUUAAUAACCUCAUCGAUUGACGUUACCCGCAGAAGAAGCACCGGCUAACUCCGUGCCAGCAGCCGCGGUAAUACGGAGGGUGCAAGCGUUAAUCGGAAUUACUGGGCGUAAAGCGCACGCAGGCGGUCUGUCAAGUCGGAUGUGAAAUCCCCGGGCUCAACCUGGGAACUGCAUUCGAAACUGGCAGGCUAGAGUCUUGUAGAGGGGGGGGUAGAAUUCCAGGUGUAGCGGUGAAAUGCGUAGAGAUCUGGAGGAAUACCGGUGGCGAAGGCGGCCCCCUGGACAAAGACUGACGCUCAGGUGCGAAAGCGUGGGGAGCAAACAGGAUUAGAUACCCUGGUAGUCCACGCCGUAAACGAUGUCGAUUUGGAGGUUGUGCCCUUGAGGCGUGGCUUCCGGAGCUAACGCGUUAAAUCGACCGCCUGGGGAGUACGGCCGCAAGGUUAAAACUCAAAUGAAUUGACGGGGGCCCGCACAAGCGGUGGAGCAUGUGGUUUAAUUCGAUGCAACGCGAAGAACCUUACCUGGUCUUGACAUCCACAGAACUUUCCAGAGAUGGAUUGGUGCCUUCGGGAACUGUGAGACAGGUGCUGCAUGGCUGUCGUCAGCUCGUGUUGUGAAAUGUUGGGUUAAGUCCCGCAACGAGCGCAACCCUUAUCCUUUGUUGCCAGCGGUCCGGCCGGGAACUCAAAGGAGACUGCCAGUGAUAAACUGGAGGAAGGUGGGGAUGACGUCAAGUCAUCAUGGCCCUUACGACCAGGGCUACACACGUGCUACAAUGGCAUAUACAAAGAGAAGCGACCUCGCGAGAGCAAGCGGACCUCAUAAAGUAUGUCGUAGUCCGGAUUGGGAGUCUGCAACUCGACUCCAUGAAGUCGGAAUCGCUAGUAAUCGUAGAUCAGAAUGCUACGGUGAAUACGUUCCCGGGCCUUGUACACACCGCCCGUCACACCAUGGGAGUGGGUUGCAAAAGAAGUAGGUAGCUUAACCUUCGGGAGGGCGCUUACCACUUUGUGAUUCAUGACUGGGGUGAAGUCGUAACAAGGUAACCGUAGGGGAACCUGCGGUUGGAUCACCUCCUUACCUUAAAGAA